rnacentral:rRNA from 1 species
UACAGAGGGGGCCAGCGUUAUUCGGAAUUAUUGGGCGUAAAGGGCGCGUAGGCGGCUUUGCGUGUCUUUCGUGAAAUCCCUCGGCUUAACCGAGGAACUGCCCUCCAAACUGCUUGGCUUGAGUCCGGGAGAGGUGAGUGGAAUUCCCAGUGUAGCGGUGAAAUGCGUAGAUAUUGGGAGGAACACCAGUGGCGAAGGCGGCUCACUGGACCGGAACUGACGCUGAGGCGCGAAAGCGUGGGGAGCAAACGGG